AACGAACGCUGGCGGCAUGCCUAACACAUGCAAGUCGAACGAGACCUUCGGGUCUAGUGGCGCAUGGGUGUGUAACGCGUGGGAACCUGCCCUUAGGUUUGGAAUAACUCCCCGAAAGGGGUGCUAAUACCGGAUAAUGUCUUCGGACCAAAGAUUUAUCGCCUUUGGAUGGGCCCGCGUUGGAUUAGCUAGUUGGUAGGGUAAAAGCCUACCAAGGCGACGAUCCAUAGCUGGUCUGAGAGGAUGGUCAGCCACACUGCGACUGGGACGCGGCCCAGACUCCUACGGGAUGCGGGAGUGGGGGAUAUUGGACCAUGGGCGAAAGCCUGAUCCACCAAUGCCGCGUGAGUGAUGAAGGCCUUAGGGUUGUAAAGCUCUUUUACCCGGGAUGAUAAUGACAGUACCGGGAGAAUAAGCUCCGGCUAACUCCGUG
rnacentral:rRNA from 1 species